AUCCUUGAUUGAUGAUACUAGGGACGUGGCCCAUAAGGUGCUCCAUGAGUAGACGGAGUUCCUCUUGGAUCAUCCUCAUCCCGACCGGCACUCAAAAUUCGGGAAGAUCGCUGCUUAUCCCAAUGGCACUUGAUUUUCCUACACCCAUAUUCACUGGUAACUGCUACAUUCGCUUCCUUGCUUUCUGCACACAUUCAAAAUCACUGAUGAGAAACAAUUGACUUCAUACUUACCAUUGCACAUUUUAAUAUCGAGAGUCCCAAGUUUCAUUUUUUACUUGUUGAAUAAAAUAUAUAAUAUGUACGGGUAUAAUUUUAGAGCAUCUCCAACAGCCUCUUCAAUAGUAUUGAAAUUCUAAAAUAGGUGAGCCACAUCAAAAAAAGUCGCUCCAACAGCGUCUUCAACCUCAGUCAUCAAAGCUGCAACCUCUUUCUCUCUCUUCAGGACUGGUAAGUUGACUUUGGCUCUUCAAAUAUUUAAUUUUACUUUGGAAAAACAAAACCUACCUUGAAAAUGUUAAAAACAUGCAUUUUUUUCUUUUCAUAUAAUAAAUACAAAGACAUUUUUCACAUGUUUUCAUAUUUUUCAUUCUUUUCUAUGAUAUUGCAUUAAUUGAAUUGAAAAGUAAGUUGAAGCAAAAAUUAUUGACGUAGCAAAUAAGACUUUUCAAAUUGCUACGUAGGUGAACAAACUUCAAUUUAAAUAGUUUUAUUUGCUACUACGGUUGGAGAUGCUCUUAGAGCAUCACCAAUGGGGGGGGUGUAAAUUCGGGGGUGUAAAGCCACUUUUACAUCCCAUUUACACCUCCUGGGGGUGUAAAUAUGUUUUUUGCUCCACUGGGAAAAGAUGUAAAUCUAAGAUGUAUAAUUGUUUUGUUUGUCUUAAUUCGUUUUUGUGUGAAAUUUGUAUUUUGUGUUUACUUUAUAAAAUUAAUUUUUUUUUGUAUUAGGUUAAUUUUAAUUUUUCAAAUAAAUAGACCUAAAAAUAUUUAAAUUCGGAGAAGAUAUAAUUUCAUCCAAAAACAUUGGAGGGAGCAUGAAAACCGCAAAUGAGUAAACAACAUGCGAUUUUUUUUUCUAGAAAUUACUGUAGCCGUGGGUCCCACUUUUUAUGUUGACUUUUCUUCAUUUUUUCUCUCUUUUUCCCAACUGGGUCCCAACUGCAAGAGAUGUAAAAAUAGAUGUACAAUUGCAUCGAUAUUUACAUCUCAUGGUGGUGAUGUAAUUAUACAUCCAUUUACACACACAACCCCUUCUCCCCCCCCCCCCCCCAAAUGUGGGGGAAUCCCAACACAAAAUGGGUUUAUUUAAUAAACAUCCCCUUAUACCCCCCCCCCCCCCCCCCCCCCCAAUUGGUGAUGCUCUUAGUAUAUUGGUACUAUAUAUACAUUGUUAAUGAAGAGUCCCAAGUUAAAUUUGGAAGGGCUCACUGUCCUAAUCAACUGGCUUAAUUAACCCACGUCUGCGAGUCCCAAAUAAAUUUAAAAGUACUUGUUCCCGCAAAAGUAGUAGCUAAUGUGAUUAUGGUAGUGGUGAAGAAGAGAAGGGUUCUAAAAAUGUGUUUAACUUUAAUUAGCCCAAAUAAUGAUAAACCGACACUAUUGGAAACCGAAUUGUCAAAAGACACCACAAAAUUAAAGCUACCGAAAAUUUACAAAAGCUGAAAAGUACAAAUAUUGCUCAAAACUACCAAAACUUUUUGUUUGAUUUGGUUAGGUACCAAUUUAAACUGGCCGAAUGGGAAACCUAACCCGACACGUCGAGGCAUUGCGUCCAUGGUAUGAUGCAUCAAUAAUUUAUAUAUCAUUUUCUUUUCUGAUGACUUUCACAGAAAUACCACGCAAAACAAACCUCAAUCCCCCACGAUAAAAAAAGGCGAUGCUGAUUCAACAAGGUUGCAACAAUAUUAGUUAAGCAAAGGAUACCUGUUCUUAGGGCGUGUGUUUCUGCCUGAGAGUAAGCCAAGCCAAGCACUAGGAUGACAAACAGUAAUGCAGAGACUGCAACACCAAAGAGCUUUGCCAUUGAUAAUGUAAAAGAAAAAAGAAAAAGCUAC
rnacentral:lncRNA from 1 species